rnacentral:rRNA from 1 species
UACGUAGGGUGCGAGCGUUAAUCGGAAUUACUGGGCGUAGAGCGUGCGCAGGCGGUUCGCUGUGUCCUGUGUGAAAGCCCCGGGCUUAACCUGGGAAUGGCAUGGGAAACUGGCGGGCUGGAGUGUGGCAGAGGGGGGUGGAAUUCCGCGUGUAGCAGUGAAAUGCGUAGAGAUGCGGAGGAACACCGAUGGCGAAGGCAGCCCCCUGGGCUAACACUGACGCUCAGGCACGAAAGCGUGGGGAGCAAACAGG